rnacentral:rRNA from 1 species
UUGAACGCUAGCGGGAUGCUUUACACAUGCAAGUCGAACGGCAGCGCGGACUUCGGUCUGGCGGCGAGUGGCGAACGGGUGAGUAAUGUAUCGGAACGUGCCCAGUAGCGGGGGAUAACUACGCGAAAGCGUAGCUAAUACCGCAUACGCCCUACGGGGGAAAGCAGGGGAUCGUAAGACCUUGCACUAUUGGAGCGGCCGAUAUCGGAUUAGCUAGUUGGUGAGGUAACGGCUCACCAAGGCGACGAUCCGUAGCUGGUUUGAGAGGACGACCAGCCACACUGGAACUGAGACACGGCCCAGACUCCUACGGGAGGCAGCAGUGGGGAAUUUUGGACAAUGGGGGCAACCCUGAUCCAGCCAUCCCGCGUGUGCGAUGAAGGCCUUCGGGUUGUAAAGCACUUUUGGCAGGAAAGAAACGUCGCGGGCUAAUACCCCGUGGAACUGACGGUACCUGCAGAAUAAGCACCGGCUAACUACGUG